AGAGUUUGAUCCUGGCUCAGAUUUAACGCUGGCGGUAUGCAUUACACAUGCAAGUCAUACUGGUUUUUUAGAAAACUAGUGGCGAACGGGUGAGUAAAAUAUUAUUACAUGCCCAGAAGACCAGCAUAAGAUAAUGAAAAUUAUUGUAAUUCUGGAUAGUAUUUUAUCAUAAAUUAAAAUAAAAGGGUACAGAAAUAAUUCUGUAUCGCUACUGGAUUGUAUAAUAUCAGAUUAGUUAGUUGGAGACGUAAAAGGUCAACAAGGCGAAGAUCUGUAGUUGCCCUGGAAGGGGAAACAACCACAUUGGGACUGAGACAAGGCCCAGACUCCCACGGGAGGCAGCAGUGAGGAAUAUUGGACAAUGAGCGAAAGCUUGAUCCAGCAAUACCGCGUGUGUGAAGAAGGUUAUACUGUAAAGCACUUUUUUAAAGGAAUAAAUUAUUAUCAUAUUGAAUGUACUUUAAGAAUAAGCACCGACUAAUUACGUGCCAGCAGUCGCGGUAAUACGUAAGGUGCGAGCGUUAAUCGGUUUUAUUGGGCGUAAAGCGUGUGUAGGCUGAUUAGUGUGAAAAAAGUGAAAUUUUAGAAGCAAUUUUAAAAAGCUUUUUUUACUACUAGUCUUUGAGUUAAAGCAGAGAAAGUAGAAUUCUACAUGUAACGGUGAAAUGUGUAAAUAUGUAGAGGAAUACCAAUAGCGAAGGCAACUUUCUUGUUCAAACUGACGCUGAUACACUAAAGCGUGGGGAGCAAACAGGAUUAGAUACCCUGGUAGUCCACGCCCUAAACGAUGUCAACUAACUGUUAGAAUCUUUUUUCUAGUGGUGUAGCUAACGCGUUAAGUUGACCGCCUGGGGACUACGAUCGCAAGAUUAAAACUCAAAGGAAUUGACGGGGACCCGCACAAGCGGUGGAUGAUGUGGAUUAAUUCGAUGUAACACGAAGAACCUUACCCACCCUUGACAUGUAUAGAAUUUGUUUGAAAGAACAAAGUGCAUUUAUGAGCUAUAACACAGGUGCUGCAUGGCUGUCGUCAGCUCGUGUCGUGAGAUGUUUGGUUAAGUCCUAUAACGAGCGAAAACCUCAUUUUUUGUUGCUACCUACUUUUUAUUUGUAGAAGCACUCUAAAAAGACUGCCAAUGAUAAAUUGGAGGAAGGUGAGGAUGACGUCAAGUCCUCAUGGCCCUCAUGGGUGGGGCUUCACACGUCAUACAAUGGCUAAUACAAUAAGAAGCAAUUUCGCGAGAAUGAGCAAAUCUUUAAAGUUAGUCCCAGUCCGGAUUGUACUCUGCAACUCGGGUACAUGAAGUAGGAAUCGCUAGUAAUCGCGGAUCAGAAUGCUGCGGUGAAUACGUUCUCGGGUCUUGUACACACCGCCCGUCACACCAUGGAAAUAGGCUUUGCUGGAAUUAAUUUUUAAAUAAAUUAACAAAGUGAUGUCUGUAACUGGGGUGAAGUCGUAACAAGGUAGCUGUACCGGAAGGUGUGGCUGGAUU
rnacentral:rRNA from 1 species